UUUACCUUCAUUUAUUGGGAAAGGAAGAUUUUAGAUGGUUAAAGUCACAUUUGGUUGAAUUUCCUCAGAAGAAAUAGUCUUACUACAAAAGAGAUUGUCUGAGACAGUCUACUGACAGAUUCCCUCUGCCUGCUUGUGAAGGCUGUCAGAGAAGAAAGCAAUCGUACACAGUGGGACUGACUUCUAUAAGUCACAUUGGAUAAAAAGAAGAAAGGAAAACUCCCAUCCCUUUUUGCUGAAAUGGAGCUGUACCUUGUCACAGGGUUGUUCUGGGUAACAUCAGUUGUGACUAAGGCCCUUCCCCACCAAAGCAAGCCCUCAGAAGAGGACUGUAUUACUGCAGCAGAACAGCUAAGCGGAGCGAGUCCUUCCCACGUGCCUAGAACCCUGCAAAGCUCUCCGCUAAUGAUUGCAUCACUCCUUACCACCAACCUGCAAGCCCCACUCAACUGUAAAGGAGCAGGAAGUGCAAUCCUACCAUGUGUCCAAGAGUAAGGAGAAUUGGGACUGCUUGGUAAAAAUGAUGACUCUCUUCAGCUCAGAGAGAACUGCUCUGGAAAGCCUUGUCUGAUACCCUCGUCCCCCAGCCAGAUUAGCCACUCUUUCCCUGAAAUCCUGUACCACCUCUAUAGCAUCAUCUUGAGCAUCCUUUGUGCUGUGCCUAGGGUACUGUAAUUGCUACUUCUCUGCCUUCUCCACCAGAUCCUGACCUUUCCCAGGAAGCAUCCCCAUACGUCCACUGCCUAGCACAGGGCCUGCUACCCAGGGAUGCUCAACGUGCGUUGCUCAACAAAUAAAUGGAUGUGGUGGAUUGUGGGAGUGGAUGGGACUGCCCAUGCA
rnacentral:lncRNA from 1 species